CGCACUAGUCGGGGAGUUAGCGGUGCCCUGUACCUGCAAUCCGCUGCAGCAGGGAUGAAUUCCUAUACCCGGGUGAGUAUAUAUGUUUUCCGCACCGGUAACGCGGUGUUGAGAGAGCGGUCUUGCGCAACGAAACCCCGUGAACCAUGUCAGGUGGGGAACCAAGCAGCAUUAAGCGGAAUGUUUCGUGUGCCGCGGGGUUGCCGCUUUUGAGCCGGCUGACCGU
rnacentral:SRP_RNA from 1 species